UACAUAUAUAUGUGUUUAUAUUUGUCCCUGUUUCCUCUUGGUUCCUCAGUUCCUUGUUGUCUCGCCCCAGCGACCGCAGGACGUCAGUUCUGUCGCGCUCUGAGGACGACAACAGGAUUGGCCGAAAAAACAGGAAGGAGUGGAGUGUGAGCAAAUCCCAGGUGUUGCUGGAGCGGCAGUCGGACACUGACGAGGUUCCUCCAGAGAAGCAGCCCAGACCCAAGAGCCUGCAGCUGGGCGACCGUCGCCUCACCCUCUCCCUCUUUCAGGGGGUUACUGCCCAGCUCAGCCCGCUGCCCGCUUCUCCUCACACCCCCCGCAGCUCCAGCUUCUCGUCGCUGCUUAGCGACAACAACAACGACGCCGUCGCCGCCGCCGGUUCCCUCGACACGCCGGGCACGCCGCCGCCUCCGAUGCCUCCGAAGAGACACCCGCAAGAAUCGGAGGUACCGUACGGUUCUCGGC